UUCCUCCAUACUCUUUAACUCUCUCUACAAAGCCUAGUCCUCACUCCACAUCCACCCCUCUCCAUUUUCGUCCCUCCUUCCUUCCCCCACUCUCACAACUUUUCUCCCACCAUUAUCACACUCCAUAGAAGCCCUUUAAGCCCCAAGAGAAGUAUCAAAGCAAGGGAGAGCGUGGGAAACCUAGGGCGUAAAGUUGGAGUGAAGAUUGUGCUUCGAGGGAAUUGGUUCACAGGACGGUACUACAGCUUAAGAUCACCUCUCUUCCAUACCGAGGAUCAGGUUGAGCAGUGGCUGAUGAAGAUGAAGUGACGAGUGGAGCUUUUGUCAUAAGUUGAUUGAAUAAACUCUUGGAUACAUGUCUUCAUACAUGUAGUCAGAUUAUUAUUUCCGCUGCGUAUUCUUAAGUAAUAAGCCUCUUGAUUUAAGUUCGGAUUCAUCCGAACUUACUAGUUAUUUGAAUCUUUGUAGCUAAACAUAAGUUAUUUUAUAAAUGCCCCUUCACUGUCAA